rnacentral:rRNA from 1 species
CCUACGGGAGGCAGCAGUGAGGAAUAUUGGUCAAUGGUCGGGAGACUGAACCAGCCAAGCCGCGUGAGGGAUGAAGGUACAGAGUAUCGUAAACCUCUUUUGUCAGGGAACAAAGGCGGGGACGUGUCUCCGGAUGAGUGUACCUGAAGAAAAAGCAUCGGCUAACUCGGUGCCAUCAGCCGCGGUAAUAGGGGGGAUGCGAGCGUUAGCCGGUUUUGUGGGGUUAAAAGGGGGCGCAGGGGGUCAGUUAAGUUAACGCUAAAAGCCCGGGGUUCAACCCCGGCCCGCCGUUGAAACUGGCAGUCUCGAGUGGGAGAGAAGAAUGCGGAAUGCGCGGUGUAGCGGUGGAAUGCAUAGAUAUCGGGCAGAACUCCGAUUGCGAAGGCAGCAUGCCGGCUCCACACUGACGCUGAGGCACGAAAGCGUGGGUAUCGAACAGGAUUAGAUACCCGAGUAGUC